UAGUGGCGAACGGGUGAGUAACACGUGGGCAAUCUGCCCUUCACUCUGGGACAAGCCCUGGAAACGGGGUCUAAUACCGGAUAACACUCUGUCCCGCAUGGGACGGGGUUGAAAGCUCCGGCGGUGAAGGAUGAGCCCGCGGCCUAUCAGCUUGUUGGUGGGGUGAUGGCCUACCAAGGCGACGACGGGUAGCCGGCCUGAGAGGGCGACCGGCCACACUGGGACUGAGACACGGCCCAGACUCCUACGGGAGGCAGCAGUGGGGAAUAUUGCACAAUGGGCGAAAGCCUGAUGCAGCGACGCCGCGUGAGGGAUGACGGCCUUCGGGUUGUAAACCUCUUUCAGCAGGGAAGAAGCGAGAGUGACGGUACCUGCAGAAGAAGCGCCGGCUAACUACGUGCCAGCAGCCGCGGUAAUACGUAGGGCGCAAGCGUUGUCCGGAAUUAUUGGGCGUAAAGAGCUCGUAGGCGGCUUGUUGCGUCGGUUGUGAAAGCCCGGGGCUUAACCCCGGGUCUGCAGUCGAUACGGGCAGGCUAGAGUG
rnacentral:rRNA from 1 species